AAGGUUGUUCUAACAAGUCUGAUACAGUCAUGAUAUAACAAGAACGUUACAAGGUUGACGACACAAGGUUGUAACAUUAUUGUUAUAUCAUGACUGUAUCGGACUUGUUAGAACAACCUU